rnacentral:lncRNA from 1 species
UCCCUGAUCCCCUCCUCGGCCACCACAACCUCCUCAUCGACGCUUUUCAGCACGACGGGAGGCGCGGCAGCCACAGGGGCGGCGGCGGCGGACGAGGCUGCGGCUGCAGAUGCGGCGGAAGAAACCGCAGAUGCAGACGAGGUAGCAGCAGCCGCCGCCGCCGAAGGUAACGCGGAGGAUGGGUUGUUGGACCACUUAGCCGCCACGAUCUGUGCAACACCGAUGUUGCUACAGUUUCUACGGGCUUUAAUGCUCAGCUGACGGAC